rnacentral:rRNA from 1 species
CAGCAGCAGCCGCGGGAAUACAGAGGGUGCGAGCGUUAAUCGGAUUUACUGGGCGUAAAGCGUGCGUAGGCGGCUUUUUAAGUCGGAUGUGAAAUCCCUGAGCUUAACUUAGGAAUUGCAUUCGAUACUGGGAAGCUAGAGUAUGGGAGAGGAUGGUAGAAUUCCAGGUGUAGCGGUGAAAUGCGUAGAGAUCUGGAGGAAUACCGAUGGCGAAGGCAGCCAUCUGGCCUAAUACUGACGCUGAGGUACGAAAGCAUGGGGAGCAAACAGGAUUAGAUACCCGAGUAGUCCCUGUCUCUUAUAC